rnacentral:rRNA from 1 species
GAUGAACGCUAGCUACAGGCUUAACACAUGCAAGUCGAGGGGUAACGAGAGGAAAGCUUGCUUUCCUUGUUGACGACCGGCGCACGGGUGAGUAACGCGUAUCCAACCUGCCCCCAACUAGGGAAUAACCUUGCGAAAGUAAGACUAAUACCCUAUAAUUUCCUCAGAUGUCAUCUGACGAGGAAUAAAGAUUUAUCGGUUGUGGAUGGGGAUGCGUCUGAUUAGCUUGUUGGCGGGGUAACGGCCCACCAAGGCAACGAUCAGUAGGGGUUUUGAGAGGAACGUCCCCCACAUUGGAACUGAGACACGGUCCAAACUCCUACGGGAGGCAGCAGUGAGGAAUAUUGGUCAAUGGGCGGAAGCCUGAACAAGCCAAGUAGCGUGCAGGAUGACGGCCCUAUGGGUUGUAAACUGCUUUUAUACAGGAAUAAAGUUAGCCACGUGUGGUUAUUUGUAGGUACUGUAUGAAUAAGGACCGGCUAAUUCCGUGCCAGCCGCCGCCGUAA